AAUGAACGCUGGCGGCAUGCUUUACACAUGCAAGUCGAACGGUAACAGGCCGCCAGGUGCUGCCGGGUGGCGAACGGGGGAGUAAUGCAUCGGAAGGUGCCCAGUCGCGGGGGGUAACUACUCGUAAUAGUAGCUAAUACCGCAUACGAUCUAUGGAUGAAACCGUGGGACCGUAAGGCCUCGCGCGAUUGGAGCGGCCGAUGUCAGCUUAGGUAGGAGGUGGGGUAAAGGCUCGCCAAGCCUACGAUCUGUAGCGGGUAUGAGAGGACGAGCCGCCACGCUGGGACUGAGACUCGGCCCAGACUCUUACGGUAGGCCGCAGUGGGGAAUUUUGGACGAUGGGGGCGAGCCUGAUACAGCAAUACCGCGGGCAGGAUGAAGGCCUUAGGCUGCGAGACUGCUUUAGUACUGAACGAAACGACUCUGUUUAAUACCAGAGGCUAAUGACGGUACCGGAAGAAUAAGCACCGGCUAACUACGUG
rnacentral:rRNA from 1 species